rnacentral:rRNA from 1 species
UCUGGUUGAUCCUGCCAGUAGUGAUAUGCUUGUUUCAAAGAUUAAGCCAUGCAUGUCUAAGUAUAAGCGAACUUAUACAGUGAAACUGCGGAUGGCUCAUUAAAACAUUUUGAAUUUAUUUGAUGAAUGUAUGAGAAUACUACUUGGAUAACCGUAGUAAUUCUAGAGCUAAUACAUGCAACGACGCCCGACCGUUUCACUACGGAAGGGCUGUAUUUAUUGGAUACCAAAACCAUCCUUCCCUCGGGAAGUUUUGUUUGAUGAUUCACAAUAACUGAUCGGAUCGCCACUGUGGUGGCGACAGGUCAUUCAACAUUCUGCCCUAUCAGCUUUCGAUGGUUGUGUAGUGGACAACCAUGGCCAUAACGGGUAACGGAGAAUCAGGGUUCGAUUCCGGAGAAGGAGCUUGAGAAUUGGCUACUACAUCUAAGGAAGGCAGCAGGCGCGCAAUUACCCAAUCCCGAUUCGGGGAGGUAGUGACAAAAAAUAACAAUACCGGGCCUUUUUGGGCUUGGUAAUUGGAAUGGGGGAGAGUUAAACGGACCAUCGGGUAUCCAUUGGAGGGCAAGUCUGGUGCCAGCAGCUGCGGUAAUACCAGCUCCAAUAGCGUAUAUUAAAGUUGUUGCAGUUAAAAAGCUCGUAGUUGGACUUGUGUGCGCUGUCCGCGGGUGGCCUGCGCCCAAAAGGGCGUUUCGGUUCGGCCCCGGUGGCGCCUUGAAAUCUGCAGCUGGGGGGACGUUGGCCUUAACUGGUCGGCGACCGCACGCCGGCUGCUCGGUUACUGUGAGAAAAUUAGAGUGUUCAAGGCAGGCAUUGGGUGCAAUUGAAUACAUUAGCAUGGAAUAAUAAAAUAUGGCUCCUGCCGUAUUUUGUUGGUUUUGACUGGUGGGAGUAAUGAUUGGUAGGGACGGUUGGGGGUGCUAGUAUUGAGCGGCCAGAGGUGAAAUUCAUGGAUUCGCUCAAGACUAACUUAUGCGAAAGCAUUCACCAAGGACGUCCUCUUUAAUCAAGAACGAAAGUUGGGGGAUCGAAGACGAUCAGAUACCGUCGUAGUCUCAACCAUAAACUAUGUCGACUUGGGAUCGGCGGUAGUUUUUUCAUUAAGACACUGUCGGGACCACGGGAGAAAUCAAAGUGUCUGGACUCUGGGGGAAGUAUGGUCGCAAGGCUGAAACUUGAAGGAAUUGACGGAAGGGCACCACCAGGAGUGGAGCCUGCGGCUUAAUUUGACCCAACACGGGGAAACUUACCAGGUCCAGAGACGUAGAGGAUUGACAGAC